rnacentral:rRNA from 1 species
CCUACGGGGGGCAGCAGUGGGGAAUAUUGGGCAAUGGGCGCAAGCCUGACCCAGCAACGCCGCGUGAAGGAAGAAGGCUUUCGGGUUGUAAACUUCUUUUAAGAGGGAAGAGCAGAAGACGGUACCUCUUGAAUAAGCCACGGCUAACUACGUGCCAGCAGCCGGGGUAAUACGUAGGUGGCAAGCGUUUUCCGGAUUUACUGGGUGUAAAGGGCGUGUAGCCGGGCUGACAAGUCAGAUGUGAAAUUCCGGGGCUCAACCCCGGACCUGCAUUUGAAACUGUUAGUCUUGAGUAUCGGAGAGGCAGGCGGAAUUCCUGGUGUAGCGGUAAAAUGCGUAGAGAUUAGGAGGAACACCAGUGGCGAAGGCGACCUGCUGGACGACAACUGACGGUGAGGCGCGAAAGCGUGGGGAGCAAACAGGAUUAGAUACCCGAGUAGUC